rnacentral:rRNA from 1 species
AUUGAACGCUGGCGGCAGGCCUAACACAUGCAAGUCGAACGAGUGGCGGACGGGUGAGUAAUGUCUGGGAAACUGCCUUAUGGAUGGGGAUAACUACUGGAAACGGUAGCUAAUACCGCAUACCAUCGGAUGUGCCACGAUGGGAUUAGCUAGUAGGUGGGGUAAAGGCUCACCUAGGCAACGAUCCCUAGCUGGUCUGAGAGGAUGACCAGCCACACUGGAACUGAGACACGGUCCAGACUCCUACGGGAGGCAGCAGUGGGGAAUAUUGCACAAUGGGCGAAAGCCUGAUGCAGCAAUGCCGCGUGAAUGAAGAAGGCCUUCGGGUUGUAAAGUACUGUCAGCGGGGAGGCGUUACCCACAGAGAAAGCACCGGCUAACUCCGUGCCAGCAGCCGCGGUAAUUC